CUUUCCUGGAAGCUAGACGUGUUGAAGUGCGAAGUGUCUGGGGAGGUUGGCCCGGAAGGUGUAAAAGUGAAAUGAAUUGAGGGGGGCCAGGAAGAAGUGGUGGAGUAUGUGGUUUAAUUAGAUGGAACGAGAAGAGCCUUAUCUGGUCUUGACAUGCAGGGAAGUUUUAAGAGAUGGGAAGGUGCUUUGGGGAAAAGUGAGACAGGUGAUGCAUGGAUGUUGUCAGCUUGUGUUGUGAAAUGUUGGGUUAAGUACCGCAAGGAGUGCAACACUUAUGCUUUGUUGCCAGAGGUGGGGCGGGGAACUCAAAGGAGAUUGCCAGUGAUAAACUGGAGGAGAGGUGGGGAUGAGGUCAAGUGAUCAUGGGCGUUAGGACAAGGGCUACACAAGUGCUGACAAUGGCGCAUACAAAGAGAAGCGACCUCGCGAGAGCAAGGCGGACCUCAUAAGAGUGUGUCGUAGUCAGGAUUGGAGUCUGCAACUUGACUGCAUGAAGUAGGAAUUGCUAGUAAUGGUGGAUCAGAAUGUCACGGUGAAUAUGUUCCAGGGCGUUGUACACACCGCCCGUCACAGCAUGGGAGUGGGU
rnacentral:rRNA from 1 species